ACGAACGCUGGCGGCGUGCUUAACACAUGCAAGUCGAACGGAAAGGCCCUGCUUUUGUGGGGUGCUCGAGUGGCGAACGGGUGAGUAACACGUGAGUAACCUGCCCUUGACUUUGGGAUAACUUCAGGAAACUGGGGCUAAUACCGGAUAGGAGCUCCUGCUGCAUGGUGGGGGUUGGAAAGUUUCGGCGGUUGGGGAUGGACUCGCGGCUUAUCAGCUUGUUGGUGGGGUAGUGGCUUACCAAGGCUUUGACGGGUAGCCGGCCUGAGAGGGUGACCGGCCACAUUGGGACUGAGAGACGGCCCAGACGCCUACGGGAGGCAGCAGUGGGGAAUAUUGCACAAUGGGCGGAAGCCUGAUGCAGCAACGCCGCGUGCGGGAUGACGGCCUUCGGGUUGUAAACCGCUUUCGCCUGUGACGAAGCGUGAGUGACGGUAAUGGGUAAAGAAGCACCGGCUAACUACGUG
rnacentral:rRNA from 1 species